CACAUGCAAGUCGAGCGGAUGAAGAGAGCUUGCUCUCUGAUUCAGCGGCGGACGGGUGAGUAAUGCCUAGGAAUCUGCCUGGUAGUGGGGGACAACGUCUCGAAAGGGACGCUAAUACCGCAUACGUCCUACGGGAGAAAGCAGGGGACCUUCGGGCCUUGCGCUAUCAGAUGAGCCUAGGUCGGAUUAGCUAGUUGGUGAGGUAAUGGCUCACCAAGGCGACGAUCCGUAACUGGUCUGAGAGGAUGAUCAGUCACACUGGAACUGAGACACGGUCCAGACUCCUACGGGAGGCAGCAGUGGGGAAUAUUGGACAAUGGGCGAAAGCCUGAUCCAGCCAUGCCGCGUGUGUGAAGAAGGUCUUCGGAUUGUAAAGCACUUUAAGUUGGGAGGAAGGGCAGUAAGCGAAUACCUUGCUGUUUUGACGUUACCGACAGAAUAAGCACCGGCUAACUCUGUGCCAGCAGCCGCGGUAAUACAGAGGGUGCAAGCGUUAAUCGGAAUUACUGGGCGUAAAGCGCGCGUAGGUGGUUUGUUAAGUUGAAUGUGAAAUCCCCGGGCUCAACCUGGGAACUGCAUCCAAAAC
rnacentral:rRNA from 1 species